GAUGAACGCUGACAGAAUGCUUAACACAUGCAAGUCAACUGUGGCGGACGGGCGAGUGACGCGUAAAGAACUUGCCUCACAGUUAGGGCCAACAUUUGGAAACGAAUGAUAAUACAUGAUACUGUGAGAGAGCUUGGCGUCCCAUUAGCUAGAUGGAGAGGUAACGGCUCACCAAGGCGAUGAUGGGUAGCCGGCCUGAGAGGGUGAUGGGCCACAAGGGGACUGGUGCACGGCCCUUACGCCGACGGGAAGCAUGAGUGGAGAAUAUAGGACAAUGUACCAAAGUAUGAACCAGCAAUUCUGUGUGCACGAUGCAGUUUUCGGAAUGUAAAGUGCUUUCAGUUUGGAAGCGUUACCCACAGAAGAAGUGACGGCUAAAUCCGUGCCAGCAGCCGCGGUAAUAC
rnacentral:rRNA from 1 species